rnacentral:misc_RNA from 1 species
CUUUACUUUAGUCUUCUGAUCACCUAUAAGAUAACAAACGAUAAUUAUACAUUAUAUAUUCCCCAAUUGGUAAUUGCUGUGAAAGAAAAGAAUAAUGUGGUAAAAAAAAAAUCACAAUUUGCUCCAGUGUAAUUACUUUCGCCCAAUUCCGUGUAUGCAAGGCGGAGAUUAAGAUCUUGUCCACCGAAGGGUAACUCGUACACAUCCAGAAGGUUUCUUGUCCAAACCAAACACCCUAUCCCAAUUACAUGUGCAUAACCUCAGCAGGAACAGUUAUUCAAGCAACGCUGGUGGCACUCGUUUUCAUCGUCAACCUUCAAGAAGUCGGACAAGUCUGGAAGUUUUAACCCACCAAUCUUCAAAAAUCCAUCUGGUUUUCCUCCUUGUGCGUUAAUCGAACUUGUGUUUCCCCCACAACUUAAUUCGGUUCGCCUGAUACACCCUCCUGUCCA